GGGCCCGUAGCUCAGCCUGGUAGAGCGGCGGGCUCUUAACCCGUAGAGGCGGGGCUUGGCCCGUUUCCCGCCGCGGAAGUCCCGGGUUCAAAUCCCGGCGGGCCCG
rfam:Ignicoccus hospitalis KIN4/I, complete genome.